rnacentral:rRNA from 1 species
CGGGAGUAAUGUAUGGGGAUCUGCCUGAUGGGGGGGGAGUAACUACUGGAAACGGUAGCUAAUACCGCAUAAUGUCUGCGGACCAAAGCGGGGGACCUCCGGGCCUCGCGCCAUCAGAUGAACCCAUAUGGGAUUAGCUUGUAGGUAAGGUAACGGCUUACCUAGGCGACGAUCCCUAGCUGGUCUGAGAGGAUGAUCAGCCACACUGGGACUGAGACACGGCCCAG